GGGUGAUAGCGUGCCUUUUGUAGAAUGAACCGGCGAGUUACGAUUUGUUGCAAGGUUAAGCGGAAAAAGCGGAGCCGUAGCGAAAGCGAGUCUGAAUAGGGCGCAUAAGUAACAGGUCGUAGACCCGAAACCAGGUGAUCUACCCAUGUCCAGGAUGAAGGUAAGGUAAUACUUACUGGAGGUCCGAACCCACGCACGUUGAAAAGUGCGGGGAUGAGGUGUGGGUAGCGGAGAAAUUCCAAUCGAACUUGGAGAUAGCUGGUUCUCUCCGAAAUAGCUUUAGGGCUAGCCUCGAGGUAAAGAGUCAUGGAGGUAGAGCACUGUUUGGACUAGGGGCCCUUCUCGGGUUACCGAAUUCAGAUAAACUCCGAAUGCCAUGUACUUAUACUCGGGAGUCAGACUGCGAGUGAUAAGAUCCGUAGUCGAAAGGGAAACAGCCCAGACCACCAGUUAAGGUCCCCAAAUAUAUGUUAAGUGGAAAAGGAUGUGGGGUUGCUUAGACAACCAGGAUGUUGGCUUAGAAGCAGCCACCAUUGAAAGAGUGCGUAAUAGCUCACUGGUCGAGUGACCCCGCGCCGAAAAUGUACCGGGGCUAAACAUAUUACCGAAACUGUGGAUGAACCUCUUUAGAGGUUCGUGGUAGGAGAGCGUUCUAAGGGCGGUGAAGUCAGACCGGAAGGACUGGUGGAGCGCUUAGAAGUGAGAAUGCCGGUAUGAGUAGCGAAAGAAGGGUGAGAAUCCCUUCCACCGAAUAUCUAAGGUUUCCUGAGGAAGGCUCGUCCGCUC
rnacentral:rRNA from 1 species